AUUGAACGCUGGCGGAAUGCUUUACACAUGCAAGUCGAACGGCAGCACGGACUUCGGUCUGGUGGCGAGUGGCGAACGGGUGAGUAAUGUAUCGGAACGUGCCCAGUCGUGGGGGAUAACGUAGUGAAAAUUACGCUAAUACCGCAUACGAUCUAUGGAUGAAAGCGGGGGAGCGCAAGACCUAGCGCGAUCGGAGCGCACGAUAUAAGAUUAGGUAGUUGGGGGGGUAAAGGCCCACCAAGCCAACGAUCUGUAGCUGGUCUGAGAGGACGACCAGCCACACUGGAACUGAGACACGGUCCAGACUCCUACGGGAGGCAGCAGUGGGGAAUUUUGGACAAUGGGCGAAAGCCUGAUCCAGCCAUUCCGCGUGCAGGAUGAAGGCCCUCGGGUUGUAAACUGCUUUUGUACAGAACGAAAAGGUUUCUACUAAUACUAGGAGCUCAUGACGGUACUGUAAGAAUAAGCACCGGCUAACUACGUGCCAGCAGCCGCCGUAA
rnacentral:rRNA from 1 species